GACAGAGGGUGCAAACGUUGUUCGGAAUUACUGGGCGUAAAGCGCGUGUAGGCGGCCCUGCAAGUCGGAUGUGAAAUCCCACGGCUCAACCGUGGAAGUGCAUUCGAAACUGCAGGGCUAGAGUCCUGGAGAGGAAGGUGGAAUGCUUGGUGUAGAGGUGAAAUUCGUAGAUAUCAAGCGGAACACCGGUGGCGAAGGCGGCCUUCUGGACAGUGACUGACGCUGAGACGGCGAAAGCGUGGGGAGCAACAGG
rnacentral:rRNA from 1 species